rnacentral:rRNA from 1 species
UUCGGAGGGAGCUAGCGUUGUUCGGAAUUACUGGGCGUAAAGCGCGCGUAGGCGGCUUUGUAAGUUAGAGGUGAAAGCCCGGGGCUCAACCCCGGAACUGCCUUUAAGACUGCAUCGCUUGAAUCCGGGAGAGGUGAGUGGAAUUCCGAGUGUAGAGGUGAAAUUCGUAGAUAUUCGGAAGAACACCAGUGGCGAAGGCGGCUCACUGGACCGGUAUUGACGCUGAGGUGCGAAAGCGUGGGGAGCAAACAGG